rnacentral:rRNA from 1 species
CCCGAGUUGUAAUUUGUAGAGGAUGUUUCGGGUACCGCAACGACUUAAAUUUCUUGGAACAGAAUGUCAGAGAGGGUGAGAGUCCCGUCUGGAGUCGCGGUAGGGCCCAUGUGAAACUCCCUCGACGAGUCGAGUUGUUUGGGAAUGCAGCUCAAAAUGGGUGGUAAAUUUCAUCUAAAGCUAAAUAUUGGCCAGAGACCGAUAGCGCACAAGUAGAGUGAUCGAAAGAUGAAAAGCACUUUGAAAAGAGAGUUAAACAGUAUGUGAAAUUGUUGAAAGGGAAGCGCUGGCAACCAGACUUGCGUGCGGGGGUUCCCCCUGGCUUCUGCCUGGGUUACUCCCCCGUAUCCAGGCCAACAUCGGUUUGGGUGGUCGGUUAAAGGCCUUGGGAAUGUAUCUUCCUCCGGGAAGACUUAUAGCCCUCGGUGUCAUGCGGCCUACCCGGACCGAGGAACGCGCUUCGGCUCGGGAUGUUGGCGUAAUGGUUGUCAGCGACCCGUCUUGAAACACGGACCA